rnacentral:rRNA from 1 species
GAUGAACGCUGGCGGCGUGCCUAAUACAUGCAAGUCGAGCGAACAGACGAGGGUCUUGCUCCUUCGACGUUAGCGGCGGACGGGUGAGUAACACGUAGGUAACCUACCUAUAAGACUGGGAUAACUACGGGAAACCGGAGCUAAGACCGGAUAAUAUUUCGAACCGCAUGGUUCGAUAGUGAAAGAUGGCUUUGCUAUCACUUAUAGCUGGACCUGCGCCGUAUUAGUUAGUUGGUAAGGUAACGGCUUACCAAGGCAACGAUGCGUAGCCGACCUGAGAGGGAGAACGGCCAGACUGGAAGUGAGACACGGUCGAGACUCUUACGGUAGGCAGCAGUAGGGAAUCUUACGCAAUGGGCGAGAGCCGGACGGAGCAACGUCGCGUGAGUGAUGAAGGUCUUCUGAUCGGAAAACUCUGAUAUUAGUGAAGAACAAACGUGUAAGUAACUGUGCACGUCUUGACGGUACCUAAUCAGAAAGCCACGGCUAACUACGUG